UACGGGAGGCAGCAGUGGGGAAUAUUGCACAAUGGGCGCAAGCCUGAUGCAGCCAUGCCGCGUGUAUGAAGAAGGCCUUCGGGUUGUAAAGUACUUUUCAGUCGUGAGGAAGGUGUUAAGGUUAAUAACCUUAGCAAUUGACGUUAGCGACAGAAGAAGCACCGGCUAACUCCGUGCCAGCAGCCGCGGUAAUACGGAGGGUGCGAGCGUUAAUCGGAAUUACUGGGCGUAAAGGGCACGCAGGCGGUUAAUUAAGUUGGAUGUGAAAUCCCCGGGCUUAACCUGGGAAUGGCAUUCAAGACUGGUUAGCUAGAGUCUUGUAGAGGGGGUAGAAUUCCGAUGUGUAGCGGUGAAAUGCGUAGAGAUGUGGAGGAAUACCGGUGGCGAAGGCGGCCCCUGGACAAAGGCUGACGCUCAUGUGCGAAAGCGUGGGGAGCAAAC
rnacentral:rRNA from 1 species